GCUGGACUGGAGGAUCCACACUGCAGGCUGGAGAAACUCAAAUGUCUGUGAUCUCACACUGGACCUAAACACAGUAGACAGACAUCUGAGUGGAGUGGAACAAGGGUUGAUAUAGGAAUGACAUAUAAAGGAAUCUGCAGGAGAGGAGGGGAUAAUGACUGUUGUCUUGGAUGUAAUGACAAGUCCUGGAGUCUGUUCUGCUCUGACAACAGUUACAUUGCCUGGCACAAUAAUAAUUCCACUAUCACAGACGUCCCCUCCUCCAGCUCCCACAGAGUAGGAGUGUAUCUGGACUGGCCAGCCGGCACUCUGUCCUUCUACAGAGCCUCCUCUGACACACUGACGCACCUAAUCACAUUCACCUCCACAUUCACCGAGCCCCUCUAUCCAGGGUUUAGGGUUUGGGUUGAUGACUCCUCAGUGUCCCUG